CUGAAACGUGUAUGAAAUACAUCUAUCCAACCUAUAACAGUAGUUUGUCCAAGUGGUGUUGCCGUAAGUAGCUGUCCAAGAUGGCCCACGAUGGCGGACGCGACUGCGCAUGUGUGACUCACAUCAGCUACAAGGCGGAAACAGCAGCAGAAAACGCCGACGCUGUUCAGACAGAUGAUGAAGCCCAACCUCACUGAAAGACAGACCAUAAAACGACUGUCACAGUACGUUAUCUCACUCUGGGAAAUUCAGCUGGACCUUCUGUUUGUGCGUGGUGUUUUACCGAGAUUGUGGAAUGCAGCAGGAUGAGACUCCGCUUUUUGAGCCCUCCCUGCUUCAGGAGCUGGACUGGAGUAGCAACACUGUGUCCUUCUCUCCUCACAUCUCCCCCUCCAGCCCAGGGGAAGGCCUGGUGCUCAGGCCGCUCUGUGUGGCAGACUACAGCAGGGGAUUCUUCAAGGUUUUAUCUCAACUAACUCAGGCAGGUGAAGUCCCACAGGAGCAGUUCACAAAGAAGUUUGAGCAUAUGAAGAAGACAGGAGACUACUACGUAGUGGUGGUGGAAGACACAGAACUGAGACAGAUUGUUGCCACUGCCACGUUGAUCACAGAGCACAAAUUCAUUCACUCGUGUGCUAAGAGAGGCCGGGUGGAGGAGGUAGUAGUCAGUGACGUGUGCAGGGGGAAGCAGCUGGGUAAACUGUUAGUUUCAACACUCACUCUUCUCAGCAAAAAACUGAAUUGCUAUAAGAUCACACUGGAAUGUGCACCCAAAAAUGUGGCUUUCUACCAAAAGUUUGGCUAUAACACUUCGGAUGAGGCAUACAUGCAGUGCCGGUUCUUCGACUGAGGACAAAAGCGGUUUUAAAUCGCAGUUUUGAGGACAUGGACCACACCUUUAUACACCCACUGACAUCAGAACUCGCAUUGACAAAAGUGUCUUAAGAACUUGGAGAGCUGCCCAAGGAUCAGUUUGUGGUUUGGAUUAUGUCUGUCAAACAGUUCCUGUAUACUCAUCUGGAUUUCAGAGCACUUUAGUAAACAUAAAAAUAUGUUGAAGCUCUCCGCCCCUUUGGUAACCAAGGCUAUCUCACCAAGGUGGAGCUCUGCUGUCCUCUUCCCCAACCAUCGGAAGAAAGCAAUGUCAGAUACUGUAAAUGUAAUCGCCAAUUUUUGUUACAUUGUGAAUUAGUCAACUGCUGUGUUCUGACAGAGAAAAUACAAAUUAUACCUGCAGCUGUAGUAAAUAUAACUGCUUGAGAAAUCAAGAUGAUACCAAAUGAAGUUAAAUUACAAAAGCAUCUAAACAAUUGAAAAAAUGUACAAUAGAUGACAGCUCAAGUUUACUCCAAUAACAACUAUGCUUGAUGGAUUUAAUGUAGAUCACAGAAUGAGGGGUCACUCACACUAGGCAAUCGUACCGUGCCCAAGCACGUUUGCCCCCUAAAAUCCGGAUUAUUUGGCUAGAGUGAGUGCAAGUGUACCGUGCUUGAGUACGGUACACUUCCCUGGCACGGUACGCUUGAGCACGGUACACUUGGUCACGCAUGCGCACUAGGGAUUAAUAUUUUCCCCGAAAAUAAGACAUUUUAAAUCCUGGGAAAAGAAGCCAAUUUUCCAGGGAAUCCCUGGAAAUCAACAAUUUUUAAAAGGCAACACUAGCUGAGCCCUGGUCAUUUCAAGCAACACUAAAUGCAACGCGGAUACAUUAUGCAUAUAUGGGUUCCCAAUACAACCAUUUUUUGUGUAUUAUUUUAUCAUUAAGGCAAAAUUUCUCAAUUUAUGUCCAUCGACAUUAUAAUGAAUAGGCUUAAUAUUAGCUUUCAUCCAGCGUGCUGCGUGGACUUCAUUACAUCUGUUGCACCGCUGCUACCACAAUUAUGAAAUGCUAAGUUUAUUGUCUGUGACUGUGACCCUCAUAAAAGACUAAGUCUUACUUUUACUGGCGUAAAGAGUUGAAUCAGUACGUCUGCUUUUACUAGUCUUUUUUACACAAGUAUCUAGUACUGCAUACUACACCGGCAUGACUCAGUAGAACAAGCUUGCACUUUUUAAUCAUAGUGCGUUGUGUUAAUUGAUCGGCUGUGUUGUGUUUUACAGGCGCACAGCACGCAAACACACACCUGUGCAUGUUUUAUGAGAGUAAACUGUCUGCCUAUGUUUUUGCGCAACGUAUGUGUCGGAGGCUACCGUGCUUGAUUACACUUGGGUUUGAGGUAAUGUGAGUGCGGGCCAGUGGGGGAUGGGGGACUUCCGUGCUUCAGCACGGUACGGAACAACUGGCCCUAGUGUAAGUGCGCCCUGAUUCAAAUUUAUUCAUACAGAUUGCAUUGAUUGUCAAGGGCAAGUCACCAAAGAAAAGCAUCUUUAUUUUUUUUUCUUUAAAUAUGAUUGGGACAUUCAUUUUGGGUUUUUUUGGUGAAAAGUUGUAUCAUAAAACUUUUCUUGAUCUGGCAGUGCUGCUGGAUAAUUAAGAUGAAGGGUCAUAUACAAGACAUGAAGCAUAACUGUUAAGCCAAGACUGUUAUAAUGUAUAUUUAAAGUGAACAAAAAGAUUAUAUUUUGUGAAGUAGUGGUAUGAAAUUUUAUGGAAGAUUCUGGAAGUUUUAUAUCUGGAUGAUCGGUUAAAUUUGGAUAGAAGGAAAGAAACAUUUUGUAAUGGGUAUGAAAUGAGUUUUAUAAGUUAAUUCAUAUUUAAGUUUUUGUAGUUUGGUUUUUUUAAUUGUGCUGUCAGGAGAACAGGGGCACCUAUUAAAUGCAAUUUAUUUCCAAACAUGUAAUAGUCAAAUAAAAUAUACUACAGUGGUGGGUUACCUGCAUUUCUAGAUUUGAUGAUUAUAUUUUCAGUGAUUGCACAUUUGUUUUAAAUGAGUUCUUAUGGUUUUCAGCCUGCUGGGUGACAUUCUGUCCCUAAAACUCAUAAAGUACAUUAGUAAAGAGUGCAUGUCAAUAGCUGUUUUUUAUUGAGUUACUGACAUAUACAGCAAGAACUCCAGAAAAAUGUUAGAAAAAAGAACCAUCAUAUUUACGUGACUGUAAAAU